GAUGAACGCUGGCGGCGUGCCUAAUACAUGCAAGUCGAGCGAACAGACGAGGAGCUUGCUCCUCUGACGUUAGCGGCGGACGUGUGAGUCACACGUGGAUAACCUCCCUAUAAGACUGGGAUAACUUCGGGAAACCGGAGCAAAUACCGGAUAAUAUAUUGAACCGCAUGGUUCAAUAGUGAAAUACGGUUUUUCUGUCACUUAUCGCUGCAUCCGGGCCGCAUUAGCUAGUUGGUAAGGUCACGGCUUACCAAGGCAACGAUGCGUAGCCGACCUGAGGGGGUGAUCGGCCCCACUAGAACUGAGACACGGUCCAGGCUCCUACGGGAGGCAGCAGUAGGGAAUCUUCCGCAAUGGGCGAAAGCCUGACGGAGCAACGCCGCGUGAGUGAUGAAGGUCUUCGGAUCGUAAACCUCUGUUAUUAGGGAAGAACAAAUGUGUAAGUAACUGUGCACGGCUUGACGGUACCUAAUCAGAAAGCCACGGCUAACUACGUG
rnacentral:rRNA from 1 species